GCAGCCGCGGUAAUACGGAGGAUGCGAGCGUUAUCCGGAUUUAUUGGGUUUAAAGGGUGCGUAGGCGGUCUGGUAAGUCAGUGGUGAAAUCUCCGAGCUCAACUUGGAACGUGCCAUUGAUACUGUCGGACUGGAAUGGGGAUGCCGUUUGCGGAAUGUGUGGUGUAGCGGUGAAAUGCAUAGAUAUCACACAGAACACCGAUUGCGAAGGCAGCAGACGAAUCCUUGAUUGACGCUGAGGCACGAAAGUGUGGGGAUCAAACAGGAUUAGAUACCCC
rnacentral:rRNA from 1 species